UCUCUGGAGUUAUUUAGACGCCUCCCUGUUUUAGGUGACAAGCUCUAGAAUUCUGCUUUCUUAGUCCACACUCUACCUCAUCCUUUUGUUGAUUUAGCAGGUUUUCUGAUGGAGUCUGAGAAUGAGCCCUUUGCAACUUUCACAUUAUUGUACUAUAAAGUCCACCAGUGACUGCUUGUACUGGAGAUGGUGGAUAUGGACGAUGGGUGACCCAGAGGCUGAUGGACUGGACCCUCACAAUGGUCAUGGACCCCAGUACUGAGCAGCAUGAAACCAGCUCGUGAAAAAGCUGAAAUAAUAUGGGAUCCAGCAGAACUAGGCCUGGCCACCUCUGGCCCAGAUCUAACAUUUCCAGCUAUCUUUGCCUAGCUGCAUGCUUGAGGACUGCUAGAUGUUUUGGAAUGAAGGAUGUGACUCACGGUAAACUUUGCUCUGGUACAGUUCCACACCCUAACUCUGUUAACAUCUAGGGACAGGUAAUUCUUUGUUGCGGGUUCAUCCUGUGCUCUGUGGGUAGAAAUUUUCACCUCCUUCCAUUAGGGAAACUCAGAAUGUCUCCAGACUUUGCUCAGUGCCCUGGGGUGCAUACAGAAGGGUGUGAAAUAGUUUUGUAGAGUCACUCUACUGUGGUUUACUUUAUACCAGUAUCAAGGUUAGGCACUCUCCAUUUCUGUCUCUCUCUCUCUUGAUUACUUCAUCUAAUAGGUCACAUGUAUUUGUGGAAUCUAUUUUUAGCCUCACUGUGCAAUAUAUAUUCCCACUGUUCACUGGGAACAAUUGCUCUUUAACCAGUGAACGUUUUCAGUGCUGGUGCCCACACCACUGUGUUUACUACAGGAUGUCACCAAAGGGGGAAAGGGAGCCAUUGCUCAUACAUUAGUCUGUGCAAAUUGCGACAUCUAAAACUCCAUGUCAGUUGUGAUGUUUAUAUAUACACAAGCAGAACUCCAAGUCAAUCAAUCAUACAACAGUCGCUGCAGGGACAAAGUCAGUGUCCUAACUGGGGAAGUGUAGAACAGCCGGGGCCCCCUGCCUUUCAACAGAACAAAGAGGCUCUUGCAGAAGCUCACUAAUUUUAGACGAAAUAGUUUCUUAUUUUGGUCACAGCUGUUGACAUUCCAAGGGCCUCUUAUUCUGCCCGAUGAAAUGAGGAGGCCCUGCCAGAGGUUUGGUCCUGUCUGAGGAUUUGGUGACAUCAUUUUGAGAAUUGCUAGCUGUCGGGAGUAUGUUUUAUGUAUAGUGGAUAACUGUUGUAAAUGGUUUGACUAAGGAUUCUCAAGCUGCCUUUAGAGUUGGU
rnacentral:lncRNA from 1 species